CGCGGCCUAUCAGCUUGUUGGUGGGGUAAUGGCCUACCAAGGCGACGACGGGUAGCCGGCCUGAGAGGGCGACCGGCCACACUGGGACUGAGACACGGCCCAGACUCCUACGGGAGGCAGCAGUGGGGAAUAUUGCACAAUGGGCGAAAGCCUGAUGCAGCGACGCCGCGUGAGGGAUGACGGCCUUCGGGUUGUAAACCUCUUUCAGCAGGGAAGAAGCGAAAGUGACGGUACCUGCAGAAGAAGCGCCGGCUAACUACGUGCCAGCAGCCGCGGUAAUACGUAGGGUGCAAGCGUUAUCCGGAAUUAUUGGGCGUAAAGAGCUCGUAGGCGGUUUGUCGCGUCUGCUGUGAAAUCCCGAGGCUCAACCUCGGGCCUGCAGUGGGUACGGGCAGACUAGAGUGCGGUAGGGGAGAUUGGAAUUCCUGGUGUAGCGGUGGAAUGCGCAGAUAUCAGGAGGAACACCGAUGGCGAAGGCAGAUCUCUGGGCCGUAACUGGCGCUGAGGAGCGAAAGGGUGGGGAGCAAACAGGCUUAGAUACCCUGGUAGUCCACCCCGUAAACGUUGGGAACUAGUUGUGGGGUCCAUUCCACGGAUUCCAUGACGCAGCUAACGCAUUAAGUUCCCCGCCUGGGGAGUACGG
rnacentral:rRNA from 1 species